GGAGAAGGGAUACUUAUCAAAGAAAAACAUCCUUUCAGCAGCAGCAUUUUCUGAGGAUAGUGGAGGAGUUGUUCUCCCUUAGGGGGUUCUGUAAAGAUGAGAAAACUGAGACUGAAGUGAUGUAUACAGAUUCACUCGGCUAGAAAAAUGGCAAAGUUGGAACUGCGGUCCUCCAGCAUUACCUGUUCAACAACCACUCCAUGUUGUCUCUUACCAGACGGACUCGCAAAGACGAGCUUUCUUCUUAAUUUUCUAGAAGAUAUCCUAUGUUCAUGGAUGGGAAGAAUUAAUACUGUUAAAAUGUCCAUGUGACCCAAAGCAAUCUACGGAGUCAAUGCAAUCUUUAUCAACGUUCUGAUGGCAUUUUUCACAGAAAUAGAAAAAACAAUCCUAAAAUUUGUAUGAAAUCACAAAAGCUUCUGAAUACCCAAAGCGAUCUUGAGGAAGAACAAAGUUGGAGGCCUCACACUUCUAGAUUUCAAACUACAUUUCAAAUCCAUAGUAAUUAAAACCAUGUGGAACGGGUAUAAAAACAGGCAUAUAGGCCAGUGGAAUAGAACAGAGUUCAGAAAUAAACCUAUGUAUAUAUGAUCAAUUAAUUUUCAACAAAGGAGCCAAGAAUAUACAAUGGGGAAAGGAUAGUUUUUUCAGUAAAUAGUACGGGAAACCUGGACAGCCACAUGCAAAAGAAUGAAACUGGAUCUGUAUUUUUUGCUAAACACAAAACCCAACUCAAAAUGGAUUAAAACUUGAACGUAAGACUGUAACACCCCGAAGAAAACACUGGGGGUAAGCUCCUUGAUAUCAGUCUUGGCAAUGACUUUUGGGGUUUGACACCAAAAACAAAGGCAACAAAGGCAAAAGUCAACAAGUGGAACUACAUCAAACUAAAAAGCUUCUGCCCGGUACAGAUGAGGAAACAGUGAGGCUCUAAGAGAGAUAGGUUAAGUGACUUGCUCAAGGCCACCCCACUACACAUAUCCAUAAUCUGGAGAUCAGUCCUGGGAACAGUGCAUGGCUGCUGUCCUCUGAAGGAGACCCAGGAGACACGGUGAGAAACGUGGAGUAAUAGAAGGUUGACAGCUCAUUGCUUGUUCUCAAUCUGAGGUCUGGGCUCAGCUGGCUUGCCCUGACUCCCUUUUACCUGGAAGAAAAAUAUUUCUACUUUCAUACUAAGCCUUUUGUGUCCUAGACCUGUUACUUUACCCCUUGCAGAUUCCCAUUUUUAUUUCUGGGAAAAGUGGAUUCCUCAACACACAUUUACAGAAUACUUCUGUCGUAAAAGGCUUUGUGCUAGAACAGGGGCUACCCAAUGAGCAAGGCAAGCCUGGAUCCAGUCCUCAGUCUAGCAGAAGCAGAAAGGCUGCCUAAAAUGAUUAAUCCUAGAAUUAGUUAAUUCUAUAAUUAAUCCUGAGAAUGCCUUGGAUAAUCAGCAUUCACAACUUGGUCGGGCUCAUGUUAGGUGGCCCCUACCUGCCCUGUUCUGGAUCCUGAGCUGCUUUUCCCAGCCUCUGGAUCUGUACUAUUCUGUGCUGGUUUCCUGAUGCCCACCUCGGGCCCCAGAUAGUGAUUUAUGGGUAUCUACGUGGAUGACCCACACCACUGUGUUCUCCUGCUCGGCCUGAGCACCUGAAUUUAUCCCUGUGCUAGUUACUGGGGAUGGGAUGAUGAACAAGUCAGACAUGGCUCCUGUUUUUAGAAAUGCCUGCUGGUUCCUGGCCUCUAUUCUCUGGCCAGGGAUAUUAAUGUCUUUCCUGUUCAUUUGGAGUCGUUGAGCAUUAGCUUUGGCUCUAUUACACAGAAUCUAGCUUACGUGUGUCUUCCCUUUGAUCUCACAUCCAUCUCCACCCUAAACUUUGAUGUUUGGGUCCAUGGUAACUGUACAUCUCCUUCCCUGAUGACCAGACCCCCAGCCGUAGUCUCACCUCACGCAAGACAGCUUCCUGCCACCACGCCCACUAGCUUAGCCUACUUUCUUUCUUUCUUUUUUUUUUUUUUUUUUUUUUUUUUUAGAUUUUAUUUAUUUAUUUGACAGAGAGAGAGAGAGAGAGAGGAUGAGAGAAGGAACACAAGCAGGGGAGGCUAGAGAGGGGGAAGCAGGCUUCCCGUGGAGCAGGGAGCCUGACGUGGGGCUUGAUCCCAGGAUGCUGGGAUCAUGAUCUGAGCCAAAGGCAGAUGCUUAUCAAUUGAGCCACCCAAGCAUCCCUGCUUGGCCUACUUUCUAGUUCUGUCCCUUCUUGUACCACUUCUUCUGAGGCAACCCUGAGGCUGACCCAUCAUAAUAGACCCUUGAUAUAAACCUAGGAAUUAAAUCAACUCCAGAGUGGUUCAGAAAUUUCAAGAACCUCUAGAACAAUCUAGAAGAGUUGGCUGUAGUUCGAUAGUAUGCUCUGUGUUGAGAUGACCUCUUUUUAUUCCAGGGCUUUUCUGUGCUCCAGAAGUUUAAAAGAAAGGAAAGAGAGUCUUGUGGGUGUGCAUCAGGGUGAGAUGAGAAACUCAUCAUACAGAACUUGAGUCUCUAGAGAAAGUUGGAAGCCUCAAGCCCAGC